rnacentral:rRNA from 1 species
GACGUAGGAUGCGAGCGUUGUCCGGAAUUAUUGGGCGUAAAGCGUACGUAGGCGGUCAUCUAAGUCUGGGGUUAAAGACCAAGGCUCAACCUUGGGAGUGCCCUGGAUACUGGGUGACUGGAGGACGGCAGAGGAAAGUGGAAUUCCCAGUGUAGCGGUGAAAUGCGUAGAUAUUGGGAGGAACACCAGUGGCGAAAGCGACUUUCUGGGCCGUUCCUGACGCUGAGGUACGAAAGCCAGGGGAGCAAUCGGG